GAGGACACUGGGCUCUGGUCUGCCCCUUCCAAGCUCCCCCAGGUGGAUGUGGACAGCCAGCAUGGGGCAAGCUCCACACCAGGACCAAAGGGUGGUCCUGUGCCCAGCACAAGCAAGGCGACUCCAGGGACCCAGCCUGGCUCUGAUGCGACGCAAGCAGGGACACGCAGAGCACCAGGGAUCCCUGAGAAGGUGGCAGGCACUCCUUCAGAUGGAAGGAGGGCUUCUGAUGCCAGUGCCGUGACCCCAGAGAUGCAGCCUGGAUCGUCCAGCGCCCAACUCCCCCUCCCAGGGAUGGAGCCAGCCCUCCCUGGCAUCAAGAUAGCCACCCCAGGGGAGCAGCCAGGGUCCCGUGGCACUCAGAGCUCCAGCCCGAGGAAGCAGCCAGUAUUCCCCAGCACCCAACUCAGCCCUCCAGGGAUGGAGCCAGCCCUCCCUGGCAUCAAGAUAGCCACCCCAGGGGAGCCACCAGAGUUGCCUCGCAGCCAGACCCUCAGCCUGGAAGUGCAGCCAGGAUCCCCUGACAUGUCCCAUUUACAAGUGCCAGCCAUGCCCUGGGAGUCCUCACCCUCCGGCCGUGCCUCUGACUAUGGCGUGGUGACGGUGGAGGCUCUCCACCAUUUUGGGCAGCUGAAAGAGCAGGUGUCCGAUGUGGGAGCCACGAAGUCCGAUUACACAGAGGAUGAGGAUGCGCACCUGCUCUUCCCAGAGGGAGGUGAGAGCCUUGAGGGGACUGGUGGGGGUGUGUUUGGUGUGGGAAGACCCUGGUUCGGGGGCUCAUUGUGCUCAGAGCCUGGCCCCAAGGGGGAGAUCCCCUCCCUGACAGCAUGUCCCCUUGGACCAUGUCCCUCUAGAUGAAGAGAGCGUUGCCCUCUGGGGUCAAGAGUUCUCCCUGCAGAGCCUGGCCAGUGACCUGCAGGAAAUGAAGGAGAAGGUGAGCUGGCAGUAGUCCCCGAUGGGGCUGUGGGGAUGCCGGGGGGUUGUGUGGUAUUUGGGCAGGGAGGGGGCAGCUGAAGGGCCCCCGUGCUGGGAUGACACAGGGGACCAUGCCCUGACUCUGCCCCCAUCGCUCUUCCCAGAUCAGGCAGCUGGAGGAUGCCCUUGGAAAGCUGUGGGUGUCUGGAGCAGACAGGAAAGCAGAGAGCAGCUACCAGAUCGCCCUGCAACUGGGGUAAAAGGAUGGGAGAGGGUUUCCUACUGUGUGGGGCUGCUGGUGGGAGCCUGGAGUGCUGGGAGCAUUCUGGUUUGGGGCACGAGGGACACCCCUCAGAGCGGACCCAGGGAGGCUAAGGCUGCCUGUGCCCUCAUCUCCCUGGUCAGGUCUGUGCUGAAGGAGGUGAAGGAAGAGGUGAUGGAGCUGAAGGGCCUUGGACUGCAGGAAAUGAAGCAGGAAGUCCUGGAGCUGAAGGACCUGGAAUUAGAGAAGAUGAAGCGUGAGCUGAAGGAGCUGGGGGAGCACCAGGACAUAACGGAGGCCACGCUGAAACAGUUGAGGACAGAGGUGGCUGAGAGGACACAGGCACAGCAGGACAAGCUGAAGACUAUUGAGAGCGUGGGGCAGGAGAAGGAAGGGAUUCAGGCUGCGUGCCCUGUCUGCCCCGGGGACACUGGAGCACAGCUGGGGCAGCUUCUGCAGCGCUACGAGAAGCUGCAGGAGUUGGUGGACUCCCUAAUGUCCCAGCAGGCGGUGGGCAAGGCCGUGAGGCAGCUGCAAAAGAAGAGCCAGGUAGGGAGAUGCCUACGUGGGGGGCUUGGGAGGGAGCUGCUGUGA
rnacentral:lncRNA from 1 species